rnacentral:miRNA from 1 species
GAUUAAUUUCCUUUUACGCUUA